rnacentral:rRNA from 1 species
CACGUAGGGUGCGAGCGUUGUCCGGAAUUAUUGGGCGUAAAGAGCUCGUAGGCGGUGUGUCGCGUCGGCCGUGAAAACCUGGGGCUCAACUCUGGGCGUGCGGUCGAUACGGGCAUCACUAGAGUUCGGCAGGGGAGACUGGAAUUCCUGGUGUAGCGGUGAAAUGCGCAGAUAUCAGGAGGAACACCGGUGGCGAAGGCGGGUCUCUGGGCCGUAACUGACGCUGAGGAGCGAAAGCGUGGGGAGCGAACAGG